CGUAGGGUGCGAGCGUUGCCCGGAUUUAUUGGGCGUAAAAGGGCGCGUAGGCGGCUCGGCACGUCCGUUGUGAAAUCGCCCGGCUCAACUGGGCGGGGUCAGCGGAUACGGUCGAGCUUGAGCAAGCUAGGGGGUAAUGGAAUUCCCGGUGUAGUGGUGGAAUGCGUAGAUAUCGGGAGGAACACCAGUGGCGAAGGCGGUUACCUGGGGCUUUGCUGACGCUGAUGCGCGAAAGCGUGGGGAGCGAUCCGGAUUAGAUACCCGGGUAGUCCACGCCGUAAACGAUGCGGACUAGGUGUCGGGGGUAUCGACCCCCUCGGCGCCGCAGCUAACGCAUUAAGUCCGCCGCCUGGGGACUACGGCCGCAAGGCUA
rnacentral:rRNA from 1 species